rnacentral:rRNA from 1 species
CGUUCCCGGGCCUUGUACACACCGCCCGUCACGUCACGAAAGUCGGCAACACCCGAAGCCCGUGGCCCAACCCGUGAGGGAGGGAGCGGUCGAAGGUGGGGCUGGCGAUUGGGACG